UACAUGUGGGGCAAGCGUUGUUCGGAUUCACUGGGCGUAAAGGGGGCGUAGGCGGUCGGGUAAGUCUGAUGUGAAAUCUCACAGCUUAACUGUGAAACUGCAUUGGAUACUAUCCGGCUCGAGGAAUGGAGGGGAGACUGGAAUACUUGGUGUAGCAGUGAAAUGCGUAGAUAUCAAGUGGAACACCAGUGGCGAAGGCGAGUCUCUGGACAUUUCCUGACGCUGAGGCCCGAAAGCCAGGGGAGCAAACGGG
rnacentral:rRNA from 1 species